GGAAGGGUUGUAUUUAUUAGAUAAAAAACCAAUGCCCUUCGGGGCUCUUUGGUGAUUCAUAAUAACUUAACGAAUCGCAUGGCCUUGCGCCGGCGAUGGUUCAUUCAAAUAUCUUCCCUAUCAACUUUCGAUGGUAAGGUAUUGGCUUACCAUGGUUUGGACGGGUAACGGGCGAUUAGGGUUGGACCCCGGAGAGGGAGCAUGAGAAACGGCUUCCACAUCCAAGGAAGGCAGCAGGCGCGCAAAUUACCCAAUCCCGACACGGGGAGGUAGUGACAAUAAAUACUGAUACAGGGCUCUUUUGGGUCUUGUAAUUGGAAUGAGUACAGUUUAAAUCCUUUAACGAGGAACAAUUGGAGGGCAAGUCUGGUGCCAGCAGCCGCGGUAAUUCCAGCUCCAAUAGCGUAUAUUAAAGUUGUUGCAGUUAAAAAGCUGGUAGUUGAACCUUGGGCCUGGCUGACCGGUCCGCCUCACCGCGUGCACUGGUUCGGCCGGGCCUUUCCUUCGGGGAGCCGCAUGCCCUUCACUGGGUGUGUCGGGGAACCAGGACUUUUAC
rnacentral:rRNA from 1 species